rnacentral:rRNA from 1 species
AGCAUGUGGUUUAAUUCGAAGCAACGCGAAGAACCUUACCAGGUCUUGACAUCCUCUGACAACCCUAGAGAUAGGGCUUCUCCUUCGGGAGCAGAGUGACAGGUGGUGCAUGGUUGUCGUCAGCUCGUGUCGUGAGAUGUUGGGUUAAGUCCCGCAACGAGCGCAACCCUUGAUCUUAGUUGCCAUCAUUUAGUUGGGCACUCUAAGGUGACUGCCGGUGACAAACCGGAGGAAGGUGGGGAUGACGUCAAAUCAUCAUGCCCCUUAUGACCUGGGCUACACACGUGCUACAAUGGACGGUACAAAGAGCUGCAAGACCGCGAGGUGGAGCUAAUCUCAUAAAACCGUUCUCAGUUCGGAUUGUAGGCUGCAACUCGCCUACAUGAAGCUGGAAUCGCUAGUAAUCGCGGAUCAGCAUGCCGCGGUGAAUACGUUCCCGGGCCUUGUACACACCGCCCGUCACACCACGAGAGUUAGUAACACCCGAAGUCGGU